rnacentral:rRNA from 1 species
GUGGCGAACGGGUGAGUAACACGUGAGUAACCUGCCCUUGACUCUGGGAUAAGCGUUGGAAACGACGUCUAAUACCGGAUACGACCUUCGAAGGCAUCUUCUGAAGGUGGAAAGAAUUUUGGUCAAGGAUGGACUCGCGGCCUAUCAGCUAGUUGGUGAGGUAACGGCCCACCAAGGCGACGACGGGUAGCCGGCCUGAGAGGGUGACCGGCCACACUGGGACUGAGACACGGCCCAGACUCCUACGGGAGGCAGCAGUGGGGAAUAUUGCACAAUGGGCGAAAGCCUGAUGCAGCAACGCCGCGUGAGGGACGACGGCCUUCGGGUUGUAAACCUCUUUUAGUAGGGAAGAAGCGAAAGUGACGGUACCUGCAGAAAAAGCACCGGCUAACUACGUGCCAGCAGCCGCGGUAAUACGUAGGGUGCAAGCGUUAUCCGGAAUUAUUGGGCGUAAAGAGCUCGUAGGCGGUUUGUCGCGUCUGCUGUGAAAACUGGAGGCUCAACCUCCAGCCUGCAGUGGGUACGGGCAGACUAGAGUGCGGUAGGGGAGAUUGGAAUUCCUGGUGUAGCGGUGGAAUGCGCAGAUAUCAGGAGGAACACCGAUGGCGAAGGCAGAUCUCUGGGCCGUAACUGACGCUGAGGAGCGAAAGCAUGGGGAGCGAACAGGAUUAGAUACCCUGGUAGUCCAUGCCGUAAACGUUGGGAACUAGAUGUAGGGGCCAUUCCACGGUUUCUGUGUCGCAGCUAACGCAUUAAGUUCCCCGCCUGGGGAGUACGGCCGCAAGGCUAAAACUCAAAGGAAUUGACGGGGGCCCGCACAAGCGGCGGAGCAUGCGGAUUAAUUCGAUGCAACGCGAAGAACCUUACCAAGGCUUGACAUA